rnacentral:rRNA from 1 species
GAACCGUGCAAACGUUAUUCGGAAUCAUUGGGCUUAAAGGGCGCGUAGGCGGCUUUCAAAGUGGAAGGUGAAAUACCAGCGGCUCAACCGUGGAAUGGCCUUCCAAACUCGAAUGGCUUGAGGGAGCUAGGGGCAUGUGGAACUUCCGGUGGAGCGGUGAAAUGUGUUGAUAUCGGAGGGAACGCCAGUGGCGAAAGCGGCAUGCUGGAGCUUUUUCUGACGCUGAGGCGCGAAAGCCAGGGGAGCGAACGGGAUUAGAUACCCCGGUAGUCCUGGCCCUAAACGAUGGGUACUGAGUAGGAAGGGCUCCGAUGGCCCCUCCUGCUGGAGCAAAAGUGUUAAGUACCCCGCCUGGGGAGUAUGGUCGCAAGGCUGAA